UUUUCUGCUCGGAUUCUUCCAUUCCUAAAGCUUUAGUUACAGUAUAUAGUACAUACUGGAAGACAUCCCUAGUACCGGAAAAGAUACAUUCAAGAUGAGUAGGAAAUUUACCAUCAUUUUCAUCCUGUUAAACAUCACCUGUACCCAACAUUCUCGGGUAGCGAAUAACCAACAUGAUGUUACCUGUGAAGCGUCGGACGAAGACUUGUUCUGGUAUAAACAGUGUCCAAAUCACAAUCCUGUGCAGAUUGAGAAAGUAGAAAUCAAGCAAGAAAACUUUCAGAAGAGGAAUAUUACAGCAACGUAUUACUGUGCUAAAAAAAUCAAGGAUGUGUACAUAUUUGGAAAAGGAAAAAAUAGUGGAGUUUGCAGCCCACAGCUAGAAGACAAAAGUCACCCUUCAGUGAGUGUUCCCCUUGGAGCCAGCUUUCACCUGAAUUGCAAAAUGGAUGGAAAUGAUGUUUACUUGUAUAACCAGCGCACAGCUGAUCCUCCAGUUGUGAUGAUUAUGUUUUUCUAUGUAACUGCUCUGCCUGAUCCAGUCUAUUACACAAAGCCUGACAGUGCUUUUCAGAUCUUCAGACAAGAUGACACUAUUCACCUAAACAUCACUGAGGUCACAGAAGAUCACACUGGAGCAUAUUACUGUGCUCAGAGAAAACAGAAGCCAAGCUCUAGACAGUGGGAGCUCCACUUUACAGCUGGGAAAACACUCUUAACAGUGGCAAGCUCGGGCUCUAGAAUUUGUUCAUCCUGUUGGAUUCUCCUGCUUCUUUUGGUUUUGUUUGGACAUAAAUAAAACAAUGAAGGAGGAACACACUCCAUAGUAGAUCCCAGAGUCCAUCUGUCCAUUCUGGGUCACAUAAGGACACACCUCCACAUGAAUACAAGUGUUCAUGACCAACAAAUGUCAUCACAGCACAUUUCUUCAGAAAGACCGGUGCAAAACAUACCAGAGGAUACAUGCGGAAACUAUUUGGAAGCACAUUAAAAACUAAGAAUAUGAAACACCUCUUUAUCAAAGGGCAGUGAAAGUAUGAACUAGCCAUGUGGUUGGUGCUCAUACUUUGGCUUCUUUCAAGAAACAGGUGGUUAAUAUCCUUAGAUCAGCUGACUGCCAACUACCAAAUGAGAUUUGUGGGUUUUUUAUGUUAAAAGGAGACCACCUUUUUGUGUAGAUGUUGUGUAUUGUUUAGUUUGUACCAAUACAUAGAAUUUGUAAUGAUUUUAAGUUUCUUUGUGCCAAAACACCCUAUUACAGAACAGAAUUAAGAAAUUGCAAAAAAA